rnacentral:rRNA from 1 species
AGAGCGAACGCUGGCGGCAGGCUUAACACAUGCAAGUCGAGCGGGCGUAGCAAUACGUCAGCGGCAGACGGGUGAGUAACGCGUGGGAACAUACCUUUUGGUUCGGAACAACACAGGGAAACUUGUGCUAAUACCGGAUAAGCCCUUACGGGGAAAGAUUUAUCGCCGAAAGAUUGGCCCGCGUCUGAUUAGCUAGUUGGUGAGGUAACGGCUCACCAAGGCGACGAUCAGUAGCUGGUCUGAGAGGAUGAUCAGCCACAUUGGGACUGAGACACGGCCCAAACUCCUACGGGAGGCAGCAGUGGGGAAUAUUGGACAAUGGGCGCAAGCCUGAUCCAGCCAUGCCGCGUGAGUGAUGAAGGCCCUAGGGUUGUAAAGCUCUUUUGUGCGGAAGAUAAUGACGGUACCGCAAGAAUAAGCCCGGCUAACUUCGUGCCAGCAGCCGC